rnacentral:tRNA from 1 species
GGCACUUUGGUUUAAUGGUAAAACACUGGAUAUGUAAUCACAGAGAUGUGAGUUCGAGUCUCACGGCUGGCC